rnacentral:rRNA from 1 species
UACGGAGGGUGCAAGCGUUGUUCGGAAUUACUGGGCGUAAAGCGCGCGUAGGCGGCUUUGUAAGUUAGAGGUGAAAGCCCGGAGCUCAACUCCGGAAUUGCCUUUAAGACUGCAUCGCUAGAAUCAUGGAGAGGUGAGUGGAAUUCCGAGUGUAGAGGUGAAAUUCGUAGAUAUUCGGAAGAACACCAGUGGCGAAGGCGACUCACUGGACAUGUAUUGACGCUGAGGUGCGAAAGCGUGGGGAGCAAACAGG